GUUCUCCAUGCCAUACCACAUGUUUUUCUGCUGAAGAUGAAAUGUGAGGAGGUUUGCUGCCACAGUACACAUCUGUAUGGUUGUUCUUGAGCAAAUAUGCCGUCUUUGUUGAUAAAUCUGAAUAUCUCCAUGCGAUAACUACAAGGCAUGAAUAUGACAGUGCACUGUCGCAUUUACAAGCCAUAUAGUUCAUCUAGCUGAGUGCUACAUCUCACCCAGGUUCUUCAAUGUGGCAGCCCAAUUAUUUAUUGGCAGCUUUUUUUUGCUUGCCGAGCCUGAUACCUACUUUGUAUCUCUCUCGGAUAUAUGUAGGUCUGUUGAAGAAAAUAUGCGCAUUUCGUGUGCAUGUCAACCUAAAAGUACUAGAGCAUUCCUGUUGUUCUUUGAUCAGCACCAGAUGUUCAUGUCCCUACAUGCCCUGUUAUCUAUCUAUUUCUUUUAGAGAAUGGAUACAUAAGAGAGACUUGCAACUCAUAUACCUACGGUUCAGUUCGGUUGUGUUGUCUCCCAGGCAGUGCAUUUGAAAAUAAAAGUGCCAAUGCAAGAAGAUUGGUGUUGACUGUAACUGCAUUGGGAAAAAAACUCAUCCCCGUGUUGAUGCUUAUAAGUGCCCUAGGAGUUCAUAUAUAUCAGACGAGCUAAGGUCCAUGGUGCUUGGUUUGACAUUAUGUCUGUUAUUAUGGUAAAACAUCUGCUGGAAAAGUUAGCUGCCAUAUUUGGAUUGUACAUCAAUCAAGAGAGGCAGAAUGGAAGGUACAGUUCCUGGAAAAAGAGUAGAUCAGUUUAGGGAUCAGCUGAAGGAGGGGUCUAUUUACACCACUGAAAAAUUUGAUUUGUAUGAUCCUAGAAAGAGCUACAGGUCAGUGGAUCAUCCUUUGCGGAUCUUCUUUACUAUGAGGGUGGUGCUGCCGCCGGAGAAUUUUUCCUAUGUAUACCUAUACUAUUGUCCCGUUUAGCAUGCUGUCGGAUUGCAUUGAUCAGAAUAACUUAAAUCCAAUUUACAGAUGUUGUCGGAUGGCUUAACAAAGUCACCGAUGUUUUUGCCUCCUUUUGGUAAUACAAAGAGCCAAAAGCGACAAAUUUAUAUCACGGAUGGAAGGUGUCGAUCGCUGCUAUCUUAAAUUACUUUUUUCCAUAGUCGAAGCAUCUGCCAAGGCACGUCGAAUUACACACUGGAAACCAAAGUCAUACAGAGCCGACCAUGUCAAUGAUCGCGGAAAUAGCGACAUUAGGACCCAAUUGCAUCAUGGUAUGUUUGGUGUUUUAUAGUAUGUUUUCUUCCCUGCAUUCUCAGAAUAAAUCAAUUGAUAAUCGUGUUAAGGGUGAACGGUACAAGAUGUACAUUUGAAUUACUGAGGUUCUUACAGACAAAGGCUGGUAUUACAUAAGUUGCAAAGAAUGUUAGAAAAAACUUAAGCUAGAUGAUAGGGUAUACAAAUGCCCUCAGUGUCCUGCUGUUAUACCUCUUCCAAGGUACACACGUAUUUGUCAUAUCUUCUGUUCUUCAGGAUGUUUAUUCUUCAGUUUCUUUUUUUGUGGCAAAUGCUUACAUCAUUUUUUUCCUUUUGUUAUUGCUUUGUCAGAUAUAGGUUUAUUGUCCGAGCAGUUAAUUCUGCUUCAGCAGAUCCACAUACCGGCAAAUUCACAAACUUUAUUUGUUUGGGCCUUGCAGAGAGGUUGUUGUCGGAAAAGAAACAUUACACUUGUGUCCAGUGUCAGAGGAACGGCUAAUACUGUGCUUCAGGAUUUGCUUGCCAUCGUGGGAAGAUAGUUCAGCGUUGUUGUCGCUCCUAGACGUGAAUCUCGCUGGAUACAUUGCACAGCCACAUUCGGGUACAGAUUGCUGAUCCAAUUUCCGUGUCACUGUUACUCGACGACAGGGCAUGGAUGAUUCAGCCACAAGUCAAGGCAAUGAGACUCUCUCUGCUCCUCCUGAAACUCCAAAACAUGUUCAAGGUCCAAGUGAGACUUCCACUCCACGCCACAAAGUGCAACAUCAUCGGCUUCUGUUAUUGAUGAGACUGGCUCUCAUGUGGCGGAAGGGGAAAAAAGAAAAAAUAUUGUUGCCGACAAGAACACUAAUCUUAGAAGGGAUUACACUUCACAGAUGAUGACUAGGAUCUUGGACACACAGGAUAUAAAGGGCACAAUAUCUUGGACAUCUGUCUACACACUGGUCUUCUGCAGAUAAAUGCAGCGAGGGAGCUUUGUUAUUCCCGAGCUGUUGUUCAGGGCCUAUAUGUUUGGACCCUGAAUACACUUCCAUGUUUAUGUAUCUACGUCAACCACCCGGUUAGGCUAUGUGCUUAGGUUGUAUGUGUUAUUUAGCCUCAUAGAUGUACGUUGUGUUUGGAUUGCUAGAAGCGAUUUGUCAGUUGCCGUUUCUAAUGUAUUAUAUCUUUCCCCGCACUGCUUAUGUUUUAUAUUGUACAAUUUCCAGGCUCUGUUCUUAUGUUAUGACUAUGAUCAUUUGUUGAUUUUGUUUUGCCACCUAUACAUAUGCUAUUUCCUCA